GUAAUUUUAUGAGCAGAGCUUGCGCGAGCCGUCGGCAGGGGGAUGGUCGUUUCGGAAAGCAAGUUUUGUUUUGUUGUGUGACAUGCGGGAAGGAAAGUAAGCGUAGACACUUAAAAUCGGCUGUGCAGAAUGUCGCAGAGCCUGCUGGCACCAAUGGUUUGACAGAAGACUCUCCAGAAGCUUGCUGGUUAUGCGAACACCUUGACAGAGUGCUUCUCUAUGGUUUGCAAGAGCCUCAGUGGGGCUAUUGGCCAUGGGUGCGCAAGUUCACGCACCCUGCAGCCCAGCAAGAAAUUGCUUCCUUGUCGGCAGUGUCCACAGAUCUAGGAUAUGGCCGUGCUUGGCUCUUGGCUAGCCUGAAUGGGGGUCUCUUGGAGAGCUAUAUGCUGUCCUUCCGCCAGAAUUUGCGGCUGUUGCGCAAGGGCUACUCAUCGAACUCUCUCCUUCGAGAUCCACAAUACUUGGACCUGCUUGCCACCUUGCUGUCAGGAUUGGAACACAUUCCUUUCAGUCUGAACCAGAACAAUGCAUUAUUAGAUGACACUAAUGCUUGGCCAAAGAUCAUAUCAUAUCGUCAGUCUCUACUCCAUACGGAAGACAACAUUGUGGUGCUACCUCAGGGAGUUUCUGUGAUGACUAUAUCAUCAACAGACAGCUCGACCAGCUCUCGUGAAGAUGACUCGGGCAUCCAGAGUGUACGUGUCUCUUGUGCCACGCUGUCUUCUCUAGCAUCACCCGCGGAGGAGGUGCACGUCCCUGAGACUUGUGGCUGUGCUGAAUGUGCUGCCUUUCUCGAUCGAGAACGCAUUCGGCGGAUAAUCAACCUAGACGUUGUUCCAGCAUCAUCUGCCAACUCCAGUGAAGCAGCUGAUUUAGAACUUGAGGUGACACGAGUUGUGAUAACACGACGAAAAGGGGGAGGCCACAGUACUGCUAAACCAAGAACACUUUUGUCAACAUGUGGAAGUGAAGCUGCAUCGACGGUGGUGUCAGAAGCUUGCGAGGCAACGAAUGUUGAUGGCAAGGUGUGUGCUCCACUGAGGCAGGCACUGAUUGGAGCUGAAGGGCAGCCUGUACACUCCUCGCAAGAGGCCCUAUUCAGCGAGAAAGGCAGGACUGGUGCUGCAUGUGUUGCUGCGAUGACGGAGUCAACUGGUUCUAUGAGAGACUCGGGAUGUUAUGCAUUUGUGGAAAGUGACAGAGGUGCACCAGAUGGCUGUGAAGGAGAGGGUGAUGAAGUUAGGCAGGAAGGGAGGACAACAGAUGACCGUGAACAGAGCGAGGAAAUGUUUUCAAUCUAUGAUUGUAGUGGCAAGUUUAUCUCGAAUGCAACAUGUGAUGACGGUGGUGACAGUGGUUCUGCUGCAGAAGAAAAGGCAGUGGAGUCUCCAAAGUUUGUUGAACCAGAACUGCUCGUAGAGACAAGCAAGAAAGAAGGAUUUGAUAUCAAGGUAGAAAAUAAUGCUCUCCUCCAUCUGACACUAGAGAUAUUUGAAUCAGAUGAUGAGAAAUUCUACAAGAUGUUUCUGGCAUGGAAGUGCUGUGAUGGAAAAGGACUUUUGGAGCCUAUUUAUGUCCUGAUGACAAACAAAUUUCUGUACAUACUUCGACCGAGGGCUGAGGUGAACCUGUUUGCCAGAGACUUUUCUGUGCGCCUCAGCGAAGUCAAGGUGGUCACAGUCUGGCUGAACUACCAGGGCUUCUCCCUGACUUGCAUCUCUGGGAAAAAGGCAGAUGUGGCCACUGGCCAUGCUGAGCUAACAAGGAAUAUUCUCUCAAGCCUGGAUCUAGCCGUUCGGAGAACUCAUAAUGGAGUCAAGUGCCUUCCGUCAAUAGUGAGUCACUGCUCUGAACAGCUAGAUGCCAUGAAGAAGCUCUUGGCACAGGAGUUAAAAGCCCAAGAGGAUGGUGGUCUUGUCGUAAAGGACUACCGUCUGGUGCACUGGGAGAAGUGCAUCCAGUCAUCGCCAGGCGAUUACGCUUGUGGACCCAGCGUGGGCGGUCCCCUCAUGUGGCGGUUCCUCGAAGGGAGCACCAGGCGAGAGAGAAAGAAGCACUGGGAAGCUGGCUACUUCCUGUUGCGGGCUGGAGUCCUGUACAGAUUCUCAAACCAAGGAGACACUAUACCAAGUGCCACUUACCUUCGGGGUCCACUGUGGUUCCUGUCAGGCUGUGUCAAAUGUUGGGCGACCACAUGCCUUGCAACUGAACCUGGCUCCCUCUGGUGGUGCCUGUCUUCAGCUUGCCGCUUCCAAUGAGGCAGAGAUGGAGCGCUGGGUUCAUGCACUCACUGAAGCAGGGCAGGCCUCCUUUUAUGGGUCUGGAUCCAUGGGUGGCAUGGUGGCCUGCUGCCUAGUGUUGGUGGGUGACCUUGUGUUGACCUUGGUUGAGGGCUCAAGAGUCUUGGGUGUAGGUGUCAUUAUUGACCUGAGU
rnacentral:misc_RNA from 1 species